GAUGAACGCUGGCUACAGGCUUAACACAUGCAAGUCGAGGGGAAACGACGGGGAAGCUUGCUUCCCCGGGCGUCGACCGGCGCACGGGUGAGUAACGCGUAUCCAACCUGCCUCUGACUGAGGGAUAACCCGUCGAAAGUCGGCCUAAUAACUCAUGGCAUCGUCUGCGGGCAUCCAACGACGAUUAAAGAUUUCAUGGGUCAGGGAUGGGGAGGCGUCUGAUUAGCUUGUUGGCGGGGUAACGGCCCACCAAGGCUACGAUCAGUAGGGGUUCUGAGAGGAAGGGCCCCGAGAGUGGGACCGGGACAAGUGCCAAACGCCUACGGGAGGGAGCAGUGAGGGAGACAGGUGAGUGGGCGGGAGCCUGAACCAGCCAAGUAGGGUGCAGGAAGACGGCGCUAGGGGUGGUAAACUGCUUUUAGGAGGGGAUAAAGGGAGGGACGUGUCCUUCAUUGAAGGUACCGCAUGAAUAAGGACCGGCUAAUUCCGUG
rnacentral:rRNA from 1 species